GCUCGUUAAUGUGCCUCGAGUGCUAGAGUCAAUCUCACAGAAUAAGAGUCAUCAUUUUAUCUGGCCAACCUGACUCACCAGCUUUCAUUAGAAAAUGCUAGAGGAAUGAACACGCUGUAAGCCUGGGGAGUGCGGUGAGCCGAAUCCGGAGAGGAGGAGGAGUGGAAAAGAAGGAGAGGAAGAACGACAGGAGAGGAGAAGCACAUCGGACACCACCUAUUUAUCACCCUGACUCCUUCCGUCCACUGCCAAGGAGAGGGAGAGGAGAGCGAGAGAGAGAGAUGAAGCAGAUGAAGACAGCAAAGCCAGAGCAACAAAAACACAAGAGAAGCUAAAAAAAAAAAA